rnacentral:rRNA from 1 species
UACAGAGGGGGCGAGCGUUAUUCGGAAUUAUUGGGCGUAAAGGGCGCGUAGGCGGCCUUGUAAGUCUUGGGUGAAAUCCCUCAGCUCAACUGAGGAACUGCCUCGGAUACUGCAGGGCUUGAGGCCGGGAGAGGGUAGUGGAAUUCCCAGUGUAGCGGUGAAAUGCGUAGAUAUUGGGAGGAACACCGGUGGCGAAGGCGGCUACCUGGACCGGUUCUGACGCUGAUGCGCGAAAGCGUGGGGAGCAAAC